AGCUAAACAAACAUGAUUCCUCUUUCUCUGAGUGCUAAACCUAAAGCAGAAUGUCCAGAAUCCAUCCACACUUCCCAGUCUAACCCACCCAACCUCAUACUUGCCCCCUGAAGUCCCCACUCCUUCAUCCCUCUUUAUAUUCUAUCCACUUCACUCUGGCUCCAGCUCACACUCCGCCAGAAACUCUGUUACUGUGCAGGUCACUGACAUGCUCAGUAUUGUCGUCUCUCCAUCUGUCUGUACCUCUCCACAGCUUUCCUCACACUCAAUAACUAUUUCUUAUUUUGUUCAGUUCCUGUGGAUUCGCUUCACAAAUAUUAAUUCGAAGUAGUUCCAGCUGGAAGAAAGAAUAGAAAAUUAUAAAAAAUCUUUGUGAAGGCACCACCCAACCUCACUGCAAUGAACAUCCUGGGA
rnacentral:lncRNA from 1 species